CGUUUGUGCCUAGCCUGACAAUGGCCCGUUUCUGCACACAAUAAUCGCUUACGGCCAUACCACCCUGAACACGCCCCUUUUUUCCAGCAGUCCAGACUUGACCCAAUGGCCUACGAUGUCCUCGUAGGAUCAGUCUGUGACAAAGAGCACUGGACACUUGUUUGUGGUCAUUUAUCCAAAGGAGAAGCGGGCACUUUACAUGGACCCCUCUGGCGAUACAAAGAAGUGCAAGGACAUGACUAAGGCAAGU